CUACUUCUGGAUCCCUGAUUCCCUUUACUCAGGAAGGAGCAAAGCGGAGGAUGCUCAGAGGAUGCUGGGAGGUGGACACUGUAACCCCAGUGAGCGAGUGGCUGGGACACCUGCAGCCUGCUGCCUAGUCUGGCUGCCGCUGGGAUUCCAGGAGGUGACUUCCGGGCCCCUUCCUCCGCUUGUGCUGAUGUAGCCCAAUCAAGUACU